rfam:Saccharothrix sp. ALI-22-I Contig63, whole genome shotgun sequence.
GCCGGUCCUCGGUAGUGGCCCCCUGGUAGGAAACCCAGGGGACUUCGAUCGAAGACCGGC